ACUCCUACGGGAGGCAGCAGUAAGGAAUAUUGGACAAUGCUCGCAAGAGUGAUCCAGCCAUUCCGCGUGCAGGAUGACUGCCUAUGGUUGUAAACUGCUUUUAGAUGGGAAGGAAAAGAUGCGACAAGUUUAAUGUUGUUUUGACGGUACCAUCAGAAUAAGGACCGGCUAACUCCGUGCCAGCAGCCGCGGUAAUACGGAGGGUCCAAAGCGUUAGUUCCGGAAAUCCAACUGGGUUUUAAAGGGUGCGUAGGCGGUAUAACUAAGUCUAAGGAUGAAAG
rnacentral:rRNA from 1 species